UUAAAGCGCCGCUUUCCUAUGACGGUUUUUUUGGUGGUUUUUGCGUUUUUUAAUUCAAACAAUGGAUGCAAGUUGUUAAAGUCGCCAACCACUUAUUGUUUAUACGCACUUUUAACAUUAAACGUUUGUUUUAAAGACACGAUGAAGAUCCAAAAAUCCAGACCGACUAUUUUGUAUUUACUUUUUAGCACACUCUGCGAAGACUGGUGUCAAAUUACACUUGAGGAGGAACUAUGUAAAGCAGGAGAGUAUGGUUUGAAGUUUGAAUCUGUAGAACAAUUGUUCAUUUCUCUCUAGAAUUUAGAAUGUUCUCGCUGACAACGUGGACCUCUUUGAAAAGUUGUCUCUGGAUUUUUUAAAGUACCGUAGUAAUGGUUUGAGUUUUGGGAAAAAUAGUGAUUAAAAAUAUAAAUGAAUUCACGUUUAAUUCAAACGCCAGUGGAAGAUAUUAAACGUUAAUUCAGUUUACAGACCAAAUGAAAUGCCCAAUAUUAAACAAGCAAAAAGGUUUUUAAUUGUGAUGUGACCACGGCAACUUUUUCAAUGCUAGCUUUCGAUGGUUAUUGGUGUCAAAUUACACCAAAACAGAAAGUGUCUGCAUAGAUGUGCUGGUAACAAAAAUUGGCCAGGGAAUAGGAGUUGGUGGCAGCACUCACUUGGCUCAUAAUAAUCAUUUUAUGUGUGUGUGUGUGUGCGUGUGUGUGUGUGCGCGCGCGCAGGGGCGGGGGUAAAGGCCGUAAUUUACAUGACUUAAAAUUGUCAGCCAACCUUGCAUUGUAACAUUUCUAAAGAGGAUGUUGCCAAAUCAAAUGUAUCCCUAAUCUUCCAUUAAUUAUAUGUGCAUUAAAUGUGUUUGCAUUUCAAGGCUGUUAUUUGUGGCAUACGUGCUGAAAGAAAUACAAAUUUGCUACUUCAAAAAGUCGAACCUAGUUCUUUCUGUGUUCUUAUAGAAUUUAACGGCAGUGAAAACAAAUGAUCUUCUUCCUGUUAAUGACUAAGCUUUAUAACCCGACCAACCAGUUUUUUUUCCUUCCUUAAGUUUACUUCCGUUCUUCAACUGGCUCAUCCAACUGUUAAACCAAAGGAAGUGACAACAGGCACACCGAAGGCCUUUCACUGUAAAUUACCAAGCGGAACAAAUAGCUUUCAAGGCAGAUACGAAUCUGCAAAUUUUAAUGCUGUGUCACCUGCAAUUAUUUUCUCCUCAUAAAAAAAGUAAACAUCUACCAUUGUUUACCAGCUGUUGUUCAACUAAAGCCGCUUUCUCACUGCCUGUAAAAUCCGGCCUUUUCUGUGUUGCAGCACUGAUGCGGAAAGGAAGUCGACCCAGCUUCGGCGGUAGUAUCAGAAGCCUCUUUCACACAAAGACCCAGCAAAACCCAGACUCUAGAAAUACUCAUGCAGUUGUAAACAAACACAAAUAUACAGUAAUGUAUUUUAUUGAUGGUGGACAGUCAAAGUGGAAAUUACGUCUAUUUGCGUCACAGCGUUAAUCGCUUUUUGUGGUUUGGAUCGGGAUAUUCCAAUUGAGCACAAUUACCAUGGGUUAUCCCAAAGGUUUCCCAAACCGAAUUUCGACCUUGACCCGAAUAUUGACUGCGUGUACAGUAAAUGUAGUCAGUGCUUUCAAAGAAAAGCCUAUAACAGACAAUAUCAGCAGUCCUACGUAAAAUAUUGCUACAUCACACACAUUCACAAGCUGGUUGCAGUUUUUCCGUUUAUGUAAAUUAAAAUAAAUUAAAUGCAAAAUUCUUGGACUUUGGUUCGCAGGUUGGAUUAGUUGGUAUACUGCUAACUUUGGACACUGUGGGGAUGGGGUUCAAAUCCUGGUCAGGUCCUACAGCCCACCCAUGGAAAAUGGAUGGGUUGCAUUAGGAAGGGCGUCUGGUGUUCAAGAUGUGCAAAACAUAUCAUGUUACUUGUUUAGGUGAAAGUUGCUCGAUUGUCUUUUUAACCACAGCUAUCCCGAUAACCUGGUAAGCCAUUUAUUAGUAACUUUAACUCAUCAUUGUGAGUAGUUUCUACCCCAUUUGGAUCAAAAUCUUGACCUGGUGAGCUGGGUGAGCUAAACCACUCAAUUUGAUGAAAAUCAAUGAAAAGUAACACUACUAUUCAUUGGUUAUUCUCAUGCACCGGGCCUGCUCUGCGUAAUAUGUGGCAACAGACUUGAAGACAGACACAGUGCCCCCAAAAAAUAAAAAAAAUGCUACACGGUAUACUCUGAUUCCAUUUCUCCUAUCUUAUCCUUGUGAAGGAAGAUUAUGGACUUUCGGGUGUAAUUGUUUCCCAUUUCCCCAAGAUGAGAACAGCUCGUUGAAGAGAAACAAGUGCAGGGCUUUCACUAAUUCCAUCAAUGACAUUCAUUCAGUUGUAUAUUGUUAUAUUGCUUUAUUAUAAAACCUAUUGCUUGCAGAAUUGCCUCUCACAUAGCCCUACAAAGACCUUCUGGUACAACAAGCUCAGAAGCCGGAAAUUCGGCAAGUCAAAUUCCAAAACCCCAUUCCAUGUUUGUACCUUAUAUACAGAUCACAGACACGAGGGUGGAUGAUCUUUAGAUACACAAUGUCUAAUUACACCGCUGUUGGAUGGCAACAAUUGCGUUCACCACAAAAGGCCUGGGAAAAUGAACGUUGGGCACUUAACUUCACACCCAUGUUCCAACAAUGCAGAAUUCAAGUACGUAUACCGGUACGUCAGAAUCGCUAGGCUCUGAUACAACCUUCAAAGAGAGAAAAUUGCCUAAUUGCCCCUCCCCACUCCCUCCUCCUCAUUCCGUGUGACUGUAAGUUGUACUGAACAAAGGGCACGAAAGAAAGAUGCAAACGUCAACUUUAACCGGCAAUGUAAAAGCGACGAGAGGCCUAACAGAGGCAGGAUGACACAUGUGUGAGCAUGCAAAAUAUUCAGAACAGACGCUGACAACAGUUAAUUGAGUGCAUGUUGCCAUGUCACUGUUUCAAAUAUUCACUGAGUUCUGAGUUGAGGGCAAAGGCAGCCAAUUUUGCAGGAUGUUCAUUUAAAAGAGGCUCAUGCAGUAUGUUUGUGCAGUUGACUGCAGCAUUAAAGGCCACAAAUUACGAGUAGCAUGUUUCACAUAGUAUAUUUGUUUCAAAAUGUUUUUUUAACUUACCCCAAGCAAGAUAUCUUGUCAAAAGCGUCUAAUUUUAGCAUGUCUCCUGGGAUCCUCACCACCCUUUUUUUUUCUUCCUAAAUCUGCCGCCUCCCCGCCACUGCUGCAACCGCCCGCAGAUUUCAAGGAAGCCUUCGGGGCCAUAAGCCUAUUUAGUGACUCACCUCGCCUUCAGAAAUAUAAUGACAAAAAAUAAUUACAUGCAGUGUUCAAAGGCGGCUGGCAGGCUCUGGGACCUCUUUCAUCACUAUGUCAUUUGGAUUGCUGACUUGUGCACAGUAAAGAAUAAUCACUUUUGUUUUUAAAUAUAUGAUGCAUUUUUAGUCAUCUGAAGGCCACGAUACAUUCAUGAAAAAAUAUGAUGCAGUCAUCCUCGGUUUACAGCGGUCCUGACAUAAAACAUUUUGAGGUUACCACAGUAGUUUGUAAUUUGAUUACUUUACGUUAAAGGCCUCAGGAUGUUUUAUGUACCAAUAUCUACUGCAAUGAUGAAUUUAUGAUUGCACUGCUAAGUAAAUGAACAAAUUGUGACGUCAGGAAAAUUUGGGUUCUAUCACCACAUUAGGGAUUGAAGUCUGCCGUAAAUUGAGGACCCACUGUACAUUUAGCUAAAUGCAAAAUGAUUCAUAUGUUUGCCAGUUUUUGUUGUUGUUAAAAUCCAUUUGAUCUGUUAAUUGGGUAUAUUUUGGUUGUAAAUGGCCCAAGGUGUUUUUAAAUGUUGCCAAAAAGUUGUAGAUGAAAAUUAUUUCAACACUCUCUCAAAACAUGAAUAUCCAAUGUCUUACAGUCUGUUAGACGUUAUACUAGACUGCUCUUAGGAUCAGGAGAAAUGUAAUGCACUAUUUAAAAAUGAACUCCAAUCUAAAAUCUGUAGUUUGACUGUGUAUGUAUCUUCAUAAUAAAACAAAAAUAUUUUAAAUGUAUGGCGUAGAAGUGUUUUUUAUACAAAUAUUUACUAUAAUUAUGACUUUACAGUGAUACUGCAUUAAUUUAAGUUACACCAUAUUCCGACUUAUGUACGUAAUAUAUUUGUCGUUGUAAGCCGAGGAACCCUGUCCAUGAAAUUAGCUUAUCGUGCCUAUCAUGAACGGACCCACUAAAAUGCUUCAAGAAGCUAUGCCUGAAAAGAAAUGGGAAGCCGGCCAUUUUGGUGUGAAACACCCAUUUUGUGGUCAUGUUGAGUUAUUCUCAUUGUGCCAAUCUCUUUUUUUCGUCAAUGGAUGCUACAGCUUCUUGUUGACUUUGAAACUUAGCUUGUAGCCGACGUGUGCACAUUUUGAGCAUGAUGUCUCUGAUCCACUGGUUAAAGGACACUUUAUAUGAGUCUCUCCUCUUUCAUCUCAAACUGCUUCAAACAACAAAGCGUGUGACAGAAAAGUGGUUAGGGCUGCACGACUGUCCAUGUUUUGUGUUAUGUGUUGUGUUUAUUAUUUUACUUUAUGUUAACUGUUUUGUUAAGCGCUUUGUUGCCGCUGUUGUGAAAGCGCAAUAUAAACAGCAUGUAUUGUAUUGUAUUGUUUAUGGAACAUGAUAGCAAAGAUUAAUGACUCAUAAUAAAACACAAAUCUCUAAGAACUCAA